GUCACAAUUCAUUGAUUGGUCACAAAAUCGAAACCUUUAUUGGUCACAACUCAUUUGUCAGUCACAAAUCAAAAAUUUCAUGAGUUACAAUUUAUUUAUUGGUCACAAGGUCUAAAUUUUUAUUGGUCACAACUAAUUUGUCGAUCACAAAUUAACAAAAUAAUUGAUCUCGAGUAAUGUUACUAUCACAAAUUAAUAAAUUAUGAGUCACAAUUACGUUUUUUAGGUCACAUAUUUUUUUGACACAAAUUAACCCAUUUAUUGGUCACAAUCAACCAAAUAAUUGGUUACAAAUACCCCCACGUCCCAUCCCAUCUAUCCCCACAACCAUGACCACCACCCUCAACCACCGCCAUCUAACUAAACUGCAAAACCACCAUACACCACAUCAACCAAAUAAGUUGUGACCCCCACAAGUGACUACCACACGCUACUUUCUCCAACAGCACCAUCGCCAUCGUCACUCCCAGAACCACCACCACUUCAAACAAAUCAACACAUCACAGAAAAACACAGCCACAAUCAUCUUGCCAGAUCCACCACCACCUCGAUAAACCCCACUACAAUGCAAAUCAACCGUCCUAAAUCACUGGCCAAUACCCAUAACCCACUAACCAGAAAAUCUCAACUCCAAAUCAUACAACAAACCGGCGCCAUCCACGUGCUACACACUACCAGUACACCUACUACCUACCCAGUAGUGUCGUCCCCUUCACGUUGAAUUCACAAUCCGUAUCGCCACCAUCCGCACAGUCAACGAUUUCCAUCCACCACAGAUAACAGCCAUCUACUACCAUACACAAACAUCAGUUUCAGAACAACAAAUCUCAACGACGAGCGGCGCCUGCACCUCUGUGAACAAUGCUUACAACGCCACCAGAUCGGCCGAUGUGAGUGUUGACUCUGAUGCUCAGAUCCAUGACGAUUUCGCAGCAGUCACGGCGAGGCGAGUGGCUCUCAGAUGACACUAUGAGGAUUCCGCGGCUCCGGUGCCAGUGUUGGUAGAGAUGAGCAGAGUACAGCGAGAGAGGGUAGUGAAAAGAGACAACGAUCGAUGCCUGUGAGAGAAUUACAGUUUAGAGAGAGAGAGAGAGAGUGGAGAGAAGAAAAUAGGAAGAAAUUGAUUUAGGGAUUGGACAGUAACUAAUUGAUUUAAGUUUUAUAUGUAUUAAUUAAUAAAAGAUCUGGAGCCUGUUUGGGC
rnacentral:lncRNA from 1 species